rnacentral:lncRNA from 1 species
AACACAGGCAUAAGAACAGAGAGAGAAGUGGUGCUUUUAAAAAUAGAUCUGACUUAGUAGUCUUUAAAUAACUAAGGAUUAUGAUAUGGGAGAGGGCUACUUUGCAUCUCCAUCUCUGCUGAGAGAAGAACUUGAAAAAAUGGGCAUGAAACUAAAGGGAUUUGUGCUUGCUGAGUAAGAGCUUCUACAAGGAUUCCCCAGGAUCAACCAUCUGAGCAGAUACCUUGGAAUGUCCCCAGAUUUCAGAGCCUCGGACCAGCAGCAACACACUCUGAAGUAGGUCUCAGAAGACAAAAAGCUGAAAUCAACUCAUGCUUCCUGCUACACAGAAUCCACUGAGAGGAAAAGGAAACUUCACCGAAACUUCAGAAAGCUACAGAAAUGACAUCCAUUUUCACAAUCCCAGAAGGAAAGAUGCAUCUGAAGGGAAUAAAAACAGAGCAAUGGAAGAGUAUUUGUUAAAAUAAAUGGCUUUGACAGGGCAUUUUCUCUAAA